rnacentral:rRNA from 1 species
AGAGCGAACGCUGGCGGCAGGCCUAACACAUGCAAGUCGAGCGCCGUAGCAAUACGGAGCGGCAGACGGGAGAGUAACACGUGGGAACGUACCUUUCAGUUCGGAACAACCCAGGGAAACUUGGGCUAAAUACCGGAUACGCCCUUACGGGGAAAGAUUUAUCGCUGAAAGAUCGGCCCGCGUCUGAUUAGCUAGUUGGUGGGGUAACGGCCCACCAAGGCUACGAUCAGUAGCUGGUCUGAGAGGAUGAUCAGCCUCACUGGGACUGAGACACGGCCCAGACUCCUACGGGAGGCAGCAGUGGGGAAUAUUGGACAAUGGGCGCAAGCCUGAUCCAGCCAUGCCGCGUGGAUGAUGAAGGCCCUAGGGUUGUAAAGUCCUUUCGGCGGGGAAGAUAAUGACGGUACCCGCAGAAGAAGCCCCGGCUAACUUCGUGCCAGCAGCCGC